rnacentral:lncRNA from 1 species
GUGGGAAACCAGAGCUGUACGAUGUACUGGGGCCAGAGGUUCUCUGGGCUUCUUGUACUUUAAACGCUGGUGAAUGGAGACAGCUCGGAGGUGGAGGCCGCUCUCAGUCAUCUCAGCAUGUGAAAGAUAGUUAGACGUUGAAUGAUUUUUCAGCCGUUCCAGACUUGGGAAUUAAAGUUUACAGGUGAGAAAAACACGGAGUUGGAGUCUUCGCUCCAGAUGCCUUCACGUUCUGCGUGCCACUGAUUUUCACUCACUCAUCAAACAGACAUUUAGAAAGACAGUAGAAAAAAAAAAGGAUAUUGAAAAGAUGUUCACACAAAUGGGAGGCAAAUGACUACAGGAAGCCACCUUCUAAAAAUGCAUUCCUUUGCUUCUACCAGUUUCUUCCUGAAGAUUGAAAUCUUCUGUGAGAGCCCAUCAGAGUGCCUUUUAGACUGUCGGAGCAUAGUGACAAUGCCUCCCCCCUGCAUUGCCUAAAAUUCUGGCUCUUAUAUGACUUUGAAAGUAAAGACAGCCUGGUGGUAGCUAGAACACCCAAAUUAACUCUAUUAAACCCCGAACUGUUCAAGUUUCAAGUAAUCAGUUCCAGUUGGUACACAUUCAGUUCCAGCCAUGGGCAUCUGAAGAGCAAACUGACUCGGUAGCAAUUGUUGCUGGGGAAGUUUAGGUCCCAAUCA